AGUAACGCGUGAGGAACCUGCCUCAAAGAGGGGACAACAGUUGGAAACGACUGCUAAUACCGCAUAAGCCCACGGCUCGGCAUCGAGCAGAGGGAAAAGGAGCAAUCCGCUUUGAGAUGGCCUCGCGUCCGAUUAGCUAGUUGGUGAGGUAACGGCCCACCAAGGCGACGAUCGGUAGCCGGACUGAGAGGUUGAACGGCCACAUUGGGACUGAGACACGGCCCAG
rnacentral:rRNA from 1 species